rnacentral:rRNA from 1 species
UACGUAGGGUGCGAGCGUUACUCGGCAUUACUGGGCGUAAAGCGUGCGCAGGCGGUUUUGUAAGCCAGAUGUGAAAUCCCCGGGCUUAACCUGGGAAUGGCAUUUGGGACUGCAAGGCUCGAGUGCGGCAGAGGAGACUGGAAUUCCUGGUGUAGCAGUGAAAUGCGUAGAUAUCAGGAGGAACACCGAUGGCGAAGGCAGGUCUCUGGGCUGACACUGACGCUCAUGCACGAAAGCGUGGGGAGCAAACAGG